GGGUUGUGAGGUUAAGCGACUAAGCGUACACGGUGGAUGCCCUGGCAGUCAGAGGCGAUGAAGGGCGUGCUAAUCUGCGAUAAGCGCCGGUAAGGUGAUAUGAACCGUUAUAACCGGCGAUACCCGAAUGGGGAAACCCAGUGUGAUUCGUCACACUAUCAUUAACUGAAUCCAUAGGUUAAUGAGGCGAACCGGGGGAACUGAAACAUCUAAGUACCCCGAGGAAAAGAAAUCAACCGAGAUUCCCCCAGUAGCGGCGAGCGAACGGGGAGGAGCCCAGAGCCUGAAUCAGCAUGUGUGUUAGUGGAAGCGUCUGGAAAGGCGCGCGAUACAGGGUGACAGCCCCGUACACAAAAGCGCAUGUGCUGUGAGCUCGAUGAGUAGGGCGGGACACGUGGUAUCCUGUCUGAAUAUGGGGGGACCAUCCUCCAAGGCUAAAUACUCCUGACUGACCGAUAGUGAACCAGUACCGUGAGGGAAAGGCGAAAAGAACCCCGGCGAGGGGAGUGAAAAAGAACCUGAAACCGUGUACGUACAAGCAGUGGGAGCACAGGUUUACCUGUGUGACUGCGUACCUUUUGUAUAAUGGGUCAGCGACUUAUAUUCUGUAGCAAGGUUAACCGUAUAGGGGAGCCGUAGGGAAACCGAGUCUUAACCGGGCGUUAAGUUGCAGGGUAUAGACCCGAAACCCGGUGAUCUAGCCAUGGGCAGGUUGAAGGUUGGGUAACACUAACUGGAGGACCGAACCGACUAAUGUUGAAAAAUUAGCGGAUGACCUGUGGCUGGGGGUGAAAGGCCAAUCAAACCGGGAGAUAGCUGGUUCUCCCCGAAAGCUAUUUAGGUAGCGCCUCGUGAAUUCAUCUCCGGGGGUAGAGCACUGUUUCGGCUAGGGGGCCAUCCCGGCUUACCAACCCGAUGCAAACUGCGAAUACCGGAGAAUGUUAUCACGGGAGACACACGGCGGGUGCUAACGUCCGUCGUGAAGAGGGAAACAACCCAGACCGCCAGCUAAGGUCCCAAAGUCAUGGUUAAGUGGGAAACGAUGUGGGAAGGCCCAGACAGCCAGGAUGUUGGCUUAGAAGCAGCCAUCAUUUAAAGAAAGCGUAAUAGCUCACUGGUCGAGUCGGCCUGCGCGGAAGAUGUAACGGGGCUAAACCAUGCACCGAAGCUGCGGCAGCGA
rnacentral:rRNA from 5 species